GCUUUGAAAGAAACCCUGAAGUAAACGUGAGAAGAUUCUUUUUUAAAACAUUACAAACAAACAAAAAAGUCAAGCAAGAGGUUUUGUGGCAAUAGACUAAGCAUAGAGUUAUUUUUUAAGGAACACAAAUUAAGCAUUCAACCUGUGGCAAAUCUGUACUAUCUGCUUGAAUUAUGUUGCUCUCAAAGAAAAAGGUUUGAUAAAACACCAUCAGAACUGAAACUGG
rnacentral:lncRNA from 1 species